rnacentral:rRNA from 1 species
UGAGCAAUCUGCCCUUCUCAUCGGAAUAAGCGUUGGAAACGACGUCUAAUGCCGAAUACGACCUCCUUUCGCAUGAUCGGAGGUGGAAAGCUCCGGCGGAGAAGGAUGAGCUCGCGGCCUAUCAGCUAGUUGGUGUGGGUAAUGGCCCACCAAGGCGACGAUCCUUAGCUGGUCUGAGAGGAUGAUCAGCCACACUGGGACUGAGACACCGGCAGA